ensembl:lncRNA ZNF252P zinc finger protein 252, pseudogene
CCCUUCCCGUGGUCGAGCCGAGUGAGUCCCGAGCUAGGGCGCCUGGUGCGGAGGUCCUGACCUGAGGGCUGCAUCAAGAUCUUGUCAUUCCACAUCGUGGUUUCCUUUGAGGAUGUGGCUGUACCCCUCUCCCAGGAGGAGUGGGACUGUCUGAUCCCUGCUCAGAGGGGCCUCUACAAGGAUGUGAUGAUGGGGACCUAUGGGAACCUACUCUCAUUAGGUGAAUGGUUAAGCAAACUGUGGUACAUCCAUACCAUGGGAUACGACUCAACAAUCAAAAGGAACUGCCCAGACUUCACCACGAUGCAAUAUAUGCAUGACUUCAAGCUUCCAAACCUGAUGUCAUCUCCAGGCUGGAGCGGGGGGACGAACCAUAGACCCCUCACAUCCUGAGAACUCAGGGGAGCUGGAGCUGGAGGCACAAGAGAGAAGGCUGUGAUUCUAGGAUUGAAAAAGAGGAAAUGAUUCCAAAGCAGGACAUUUCUGAAGAAUUGGAAUCCCAGAGAGCAAAAUCAGAAGAUCAUGUAAGGAAUAUUUUUAAGGAAACUGAAGAGAUGAGUAAAACUGAGGGAAAGUUAGAGAAUUGCUGGAGAAAAUAUGCAGUAGAAGGAGUUAAGAACUCAUUCUCCCAGAAGAGCAAUUUCAGAGAAAUUACCAUGAGGUAUGUGAAAACCCUCUCUAGAGAGAAUGGCCAGAAGUUCAAUGCUGUUGGAGAAAACUGCAUUACAGACUCAAAUCCUGCCAAACAUCUUAGAGGGUCUAGAGAGGAGAGUCUCCAUCCAAGUGUGUCAAGUGUAGAAAACUUGCAACAACAUGAGGACCUCAUUAACCUCCAGAGUUUCCAAUUAGGAGAAAGAGCCUAUCAGACAGAUGUGUUAGUGAAAGUGCCCAGACAGAGCUCAGUUCUUAGUGAGAAUCAGAGGAUGAAUAAUCCAGAGAGAUGGUUUGAGAGUACUGGGUGUGGAAAAACUUACAAUCAGAACAGAGCUUUUAACCAGCACCAGAGAUUUCAUAGUGGAGAGAAGACCUAUGAGCACAAUGAAUGUGGAAAAGCUUUCAGUUGGCCCUCUAUCCUCAGUAAACAUCAGAGAAUCCACACUGGUAAGAAACUCUACACAUGUGAGGAUUGUGGCAAAUCUUUCAGUGUUCACUCAUACUUUAUUCAGCAUUGUAAAAUUCACACUAGAGAAAAA